CUGAAUUCCAUCCUGAUGUGCCAACUAAGACCCGGAUGUCAGCCUCCUCCCUCUUGGGAACUGUGUGUAGGUGGCAGAGGUCCAGGCCCCAGAUCUUUGCAUGCCAUCUCUCCAAAGUGCCUUCCCUUCCCCCUCGUGUCUCACACAGGACAGGCAGGUCCUGUCAUUCCUUCUUGGGAGAGCUCGUGCACUUCUGCGGUAUCAUUCCCUCCAGAAGUAACACAUUUGGAGGUCUACCUUGGGAGCUCCCCGCAGAGCUCCAAUGGAGGAUGGUCCUGGAGGACGUUAGCUUGCAGUCUGCAUGUGCCUGUUUCCAAGGUUAUCAGGAUUUCCUGCUCCGUGGAAGUCAUGUAGCCCAAGGAAAACCACCUUGCAGAAUUCAGGGAGGGGGUUCAGUUGCUGGUCCUCAGCAAGGCCACACAUCUUGACGAGGUUUCUCCAGCAAACUUAAACCAAGAUGUCAGUUUUCACCUCCACAUUCUGUCACACUUCCUCAAAAACAGGGUGAAACCUACAUGUGCACCCCUCCUCCUGGGGAUGCCUUACAAGCAUACAGGAAACUUCAGAGCGGGUGGCCUAUCGUGGUCCAUCUGCCCGGGGCUGACCAUGGGCAGAGCAACAGAGGCCUUUGGAUGUCCACUGGCAGGAAAGUCUUCCACCAGAUGGCCCAACUGUCACCGCGCACUUUGCAAGCCAGGAAUGAAUAUUCCCCAAGCGCCAACAGAAGGAAGUUCUUCAUAGAAACAGAGCCCGAGGGCGUGAAGGGAAAACAAGCCCUGUUCACACGCAGGCAGCGCAUCCGCUCGGCACAACCCGAGGAGGCGGAAGCGCGGCUACACCGCCGCAGAGAGAGCCUCCAGCGUGCAGCUGCAGCGCAGGGGAGAUGGAGCCGGGGCUCCUUCCCUGCCGGCUCCGCCCCGCUGGGCCAGCUCGGGGACCAGGGCUCAGGCCACCGCAUCGUGCUGUGUAGCACGCCCGGAGCCGGUGGCUGGCCUAAGCUUCUCCUCUUGCUGGGCACCCUUGUUCUGGCGACGUCAGGAAACCCCUCCCUGCUCUGGCAGGGCCAAGGAACCCUCAGCCUGGGCCCCCAAAUGCCCUCUCCCUAGAUGGCUGUGACUAUGUGACCUUGGGCAAGUUACUCCCCAUCUCAGUGCUUCUGCUUCCUUCUCUGAGAAAAAGGGUUAAUAACACACAUUCCUGACUGCUUGCAAGGAUUGAAGGAGAGAGGUGUAUAUUACUGGCUAUAGUCUUGGCUCAAUAAAUGAGAGGAGAUUUGAAGUUUGGAGAGUAGGAAAGAUGUUUUAAAAGGAAUUUCUCCUUUUCCUGAUCCGUGAGUUUGGCUUCUAUUCCUUGCUCCAUAUGCAGUGGCUGCAGGAAGACUCUCCAAUAGGAGGUCAUCAUACCGCACCCUCUGUGUAACCCCAUCCAGGGCUCUCACAAAGUAGCCAUCCUGCAGUUUACACCCUUAGAUCCAGCCAGGUCCAGACCUGGCAGUUCCAGGACAGCUGUGUUGCUUUGCUCAUCCAGCUCCCUCCCUCUUGGUGCCUCUGCAGAAAUUUUAGUGACACGGGUCACAGUACGGGCAUGAGGCCAGAGAGUCGGGAGCACCUGGCCCCUUGCAGGUCUACAUUGUUAUUCAGUCUGCCCCUUAAGCUCGAUGUUACCUCUUCCUUUACCUACCAGUCUCUCCUCUUGGAGGCAGCUCUUGGGGCAGGUGCCAAACCUUCAUUCUGCUUCUCUAGCAUCUAACACAGCACCGAGCACAUAGUAGAUCCCCAAUGAUGGUGGCCUGGGUGGUAUGGGUGAGCAGCACCUGGAAGAACUUCUUUCCACAAAUAACUAACAUCUCUAAAGUCUAAAGCUAUACUGUUGAUCAGUUCUUUGGACAUAAUAUGCAGUCUAACUUACAUAAUACGCAAAGCCCACCGUAAAUGAAAAUGUGGGCCCUUUGUUAAAAAGUUAGGAAUUUCAAGAUGGUCACAGCAGAACACUGAACUAAGCACAGAGCUCUUCUGGGCAGGGAACCCUCGUGAGCUCAGAUACCUGCACUACUGACAGGUCACAUACCCAUGAAGCACCCCUGCCUUUGGGUCUUGGAGGUUAGGCAUCCUGAAUGUCUCUUAUUAAAACAUUACCACUACCCCAACUCAACCACCCUUCCUGGGGCAAUGCUUGCAAUGUGGCCAUACUCAGCCAAAAAGCAACAUUUCCCUUGUUAGGAAAGAGCUUCUGAAAAUCCUGGAAUCAGUGAGCAAGGAUGUGGCCAUUCUUCCAGACAGAACAGACCAAAACAGUUCUGAUUGAAAACAAAAACAAGACCCUAAGUAAAUUCUCCUUUAGAGUGACUCACAAGCUUCUCAGCCCCCUGCCCUACCCUGCCCUCUGCCCUGCUAAUAAGGUCUCUCUUCAGUUCUGUGACUAUUUAUUAAGCAUUCUCUGCGUGCAGGCACUGCUAUAGGCCCCAGGGAUAAAACAGUGACCAGUGUCAAUAAAACCCCUGCCCUCCUAGGACUGGCAUUGUAGUGGGGAAAAUCGAACAUAAAUUUACAUAAAGAGACAGAUGUAUAGUAUAAUGUCAGGUGGUGCUGAGUGCUAACUGACAAUAAAUAUAUAAAUAAAUAAAUGCAGGUUAAGAGGACAGAGAGUAAGGUGGGUGUAAUGGUAGAUAAACUGGUCAGGGAAGGCCUCCCUGAGGAGGUGCCUUUUGAGUGGAGACCUGGAUAGGUGAAGGACAAGCCACAUGAAGGUCUGUGGGUUGGGUGUUCCAGGCUGAGGGAAUAGUAAGUGCAAAGGCCCUGAGGCAGGAAAGUGACAGGCAAGAGUAGCAAGGGGGCAGACGGGUAGUGUGGUAGGGGAUGAGAUGACAGAGGUCAUGGGAACCCAGAGCAUGCAGGAGCUUGCAGCUUCUUGAGGAGUUUGGAUUGGAUACCAAUUGGCCAGAGGGCAGUAACUCAUUAGUGUAAUUGAUAGCAGGCUGUCAUUUCCCAUCCCACAGGUGACUCCCAAACUACUUUUCCUGGCAUACUGAGCUUCGUAUUUCGGCAGAGCCUCUCAGAAGACAUGGCAAGAUAGCAGGGGACACAGGAAAUGAGAGGGGGCUGGGUUCUAGUCUCUCUUCUGUGGUUACUGCUUUGGGACUUGGGUACAAUGCUUAAACUCUCCAUCUGGACUCCUUUAUCACAUCCUGCUGUUUUGUUGGGAGGGCUAAGGAUGUAGAGAGCUGAGCAGUAAGCCUGGCACACAGUAGGCAUUCACAGGUAUUUGGUAAGCAUAAUAGCUACAGUUAGCCCUUCUACCUUUUCCAGAGGGUUCACUAUUGGUUUUAAUCACAGCAUUCCUUGAAUUCCAAUGCCUCCACCCUUUGGGGGAACAAUAGUGUUCUGUUAUGUGCAUUGUCUUCAAGUUUCCUUCCUGAGGGGAAAAAGGACAGGAGCUUGAUGUUUGUUCAAUACCAACCCCCUGCUUGCUAUCUACUGUUCAUGAGUCCAUACCACCCCUUGGCAAGCCCAGGAUGUGGGCACUGUUACCCCAUUUCAUGGGUAAAGAAGCUGAGGUUCAGAGGGGUUCAGGGAUGUAGUGUCACAGCUGGUCAGUGGCAGACUUGAGGUCAGCCUGGUGACAUUGGAAGCCAGCUGGCUGUUCCUUCCAUGGUUUUCCUGGGAAGGAAACCCAAGGGUCAAUGAUUAUGGACUCAGCUGGGCUCUGGGUCCAAUGCUGGGAUCUGAAUCUUGCCUAUGCUUCUCCCAUGGAAGUUACUGAGACCCCUGUCUAACUGCUCUGUGACUCAGAAUAAUAGCCCCCCUUACCCCAUAAGGUAAUUGUGAGAAAGAAAUGGUAAGUCCCUGCCUGGAAUACAAUCAUUGCUCAAAUAAUAUUACCUACCAUAUUAUUGGAAAGCUGUAACCCAGUAUUUCAGAAAGUAAUGCUUUCUGAAACAGACCUUCCAGGCAUACCUUCUCUUUUUUUUCCCUCCUUUUUCUUCCUCCUCCAUUCUUUGUAUGUCAUGAAUCAUAUUCUGUGCUCUUUGUCUAUCCCUUGGGUGA